GAUCUGGGUACUGUUUUGAGCCUAGGCUCUGUGGUCUUGGUCUGUAUCCAAUCCCCUGUCUAUGUCCCCACCUCUUUGCUACUUCUUGUAUCUUUCUUUCCUUUUCAUCUGAUGACCCUUUGGGUACUUCUGGGGUUCUUCCUAAACUCUGGUCAAAUUGAUUUGCUUUUCCAGAAGAAAAGUCUGAGAUAAACAUUUGGGGUUGACUUCUACUUUUUUAGGGAGGAAAUCACUCUUUAGAGCUUAGCGGCAGGAGGAAGAUUGCUCAGAGAAGACCCACACUUGGGUCUACAGUGCCCUAGACUUGUGUCUUAGGAGAGUGAAGAAGUAGGGAAGUUGCUCCUGCCCUCCUGGUGUGGUUACCUCUGGAGCUAUCAUAGUCUCUGCUGGCAAAGAGAUAUCAGCCGACACGAAGAUGCUCCAGGCAUGUGAGGCCAUCUGUUCUAACCAAGAAUAGAGAGUAAAAACAGGACCAGGCUGCACCCUUCACAUCUCCAGCCCAUCCUUCAUCUUCUCUUUCUUUCCAUUAUGGUGCAUAUGGACUCUGCCACUCCACACCCAUUACACAUGCUCAAAGACCUCAGACUGCUAUGUGACAGAGAAGGGGAAAUACUCCGAAAGCCUCCCGGUCCUCAGCUGGAAUCUGUUACCUCCUUGAAGAUACCAGAUGCCUCCUUAGCUUAGCAUAGGCUGCUCAGAGGUGCCAGUGGCCUUUUGAACCCUUAUCUUUUAAGUUUUUAUGCACACAGUGUCAGGAGUGCCCAUAACUUAGUGGCUUCUUGUAGAAAACAGAAAGUCAUUGUGAUCCAAUAAAAAGACUUCCUAUAAGUUACUACCAAAAGUUCAGUCCAUAAAGGAAAAGUAAAACAGACAGUGGAAAUUCAUUCAAAUUAAGGCUUCUAUUAUUAAAAGGAAGUCUUAAAGGGAAUGAAAAGCCUGGGCAUUCUUAGGGAAGAUGUGUCUGUGGAACUAAUAUCAGGAGGAUUGAUAUAAUAUACAAAGACCUCUAGAGUUAAAUAAUAAGAAAUAAUAAUAUAUAAAAGACAUGAACAUGCACUUUACUACGAAAAGAAUAAGGUUAGUAAAUAAACACCUGGAAAGAUCCUUAGCAUCUUAGGGAAGUGCAAGUUAGUUAAAAAACACAAAGACAUACUACCUCUUGUUUAUUAUGGGCUAAAAUGAAAAGGCCAUCAUCGGUAGAGAUAUGGGAGAAAGUAGUUUAGUAGGUUCCUAAUAAAAGUUAAGGGCUGGGGAGAUGAUCCAGUCAGUAAAGUACCUGCCAUACAAUCAUGAGUACUGACUCCCCAAAACCACGUUAAGAUCUGGCCAUGGGGCAUGUGCCUAUAAGGGGUGUUGUGGAGAUAGGUGGAGCCCUGAAGGUCAUUGGCUACCUGUCUGGCUAGUUAAUUGGAUGAGGUUCAGGCCCAGUGAGAAAAGGCACCCUUUGAAAACUUCUGGCCUCCAUAUGUGUCUUACUGACUGUUGGGUUGCUAUAAAGAGACACGAUGACCAAGGUGACUCUUUCAAAAGAAAGCAUUUGAUUGGGGCUUUCAGAGGGUUAGUCCAUUAUCAUCACAGCAAGAAGCAGACAAGCAUGGCCCUACAGCAGCAGCUGAGAGCUUUACCUCUUGAUUCACAGGAAGCAGGCAGAAAGGGAGAGAGACAUUGGGCCUGGCAUGGGCUUUUGAAACAGCAAAGCCCACCACAGUGAAACACCUCCUUAACAAGGACACACCUACUCUAACAAGGGCACAUCUCCUAAGCCAUUCCAAACAGCUUAUCAAUUGGGCACUAAACAUUCAAAUAUGUGAACCUAUGAAAGGCAUCCUCACUCCAACCACCACAGUAUUCACUUAUGUACACACACAUAUUUCCAUAUGCAAAUGUGCAUGCGCCCCCCCACAUACACCACACACAUAACAACACAGCAUGAAAAGACUUUUAUAAAAGUGUUUAUAACAUUUUUCUCUAUACUAACUUUCAGUUGGAAAGAACCCAAAUGGUAGGUUAAUGAUGAUUCUGUGGUACACAUACACAGUGAAUAAGCACGCAGCAGCAAGACACACUACUGGAACAUCAAAAUAAUCAUACUGAGUGAAACAAGUCAGGCCAACCCAUCCCAACCCAAACCACACCUAACAAGAAGAAUUUGUACCCUAUAAUCAUAUCCCUUUCUCAUCUUCUGCUCUCUAUCCCUGUAACAAAUCUUUUUGGAACAGUGACAAAAAGCAAAUUUUCAGUUCCUGAACUCAGUUACAGUUCUCGGACACCUCUGAGAAAUUCUGUUGAAAUGUUGAAGUGAAUCAUUUGCAAAAUUCCUAAGCCAACAGAGAAAAAAAAAAAAUCUCUCCCCAAAGAGAAAAAUCAAUCAAUCAAUCAAUCAAUCAAACAAACAACAAUAGCAAUGAACUUAACUCUUUACUCAAGAAAUGUUUAUCCAGGAAGCGCACAGUGCACAUUUCACACUGACAAACAAAGUCUGCUAUAGCUACUAAGAGCACUUGCCUUCUAGGGUAGCCAAAUUAGUGUCUGUUCUCACCAACUGAACAGCAAACCCAUUGGCUGAGUAUGGGUACCGUAGAUGCAUGCUGAUAGGCCUUCUCCAUUGUGUGAUAUUGUGAGAGGCGGGGCCAAGCAAGGCCUUCAAGAAAUGAUGGUCAGUUCUUCCUCCCUUCAUUCACACACAUACACAUACAAAUGGGUUAAAAUGUUGAUGUAAGGUUAUCUUGAGAGCUGAUUGCUCCACAUGGCAAUUAGGCUAGGCCUCCUAAGUGCCUGGUCUUUUGACAUAUGAUGAGCUGCGCCAUCUUGACAUUUCUCCAGCAGAAGGAUGAAGACCCUUGAUCUUGGGUCAGAAGCAUGGGCCAAAAUACGUCUCAUUUCUUUGUAAUGUAGCCAGCCUGUUGUGUCAUGAUUAGCAACGGAAAGAAGACUAAGACCCUCACUUCAUUCGUCUACAGCCUUUGGUUUACACUGUCAGUUUCAGCCUCAGCAGCAAGAAGAUGGGGACUCUCCUAGCCUUCCUGGAGGUGGAGAAGACUGUCUCCAGCUUGCUCAUACUUACCUUUGCCUCGGCAAUUCCUUGGGACUCUUCCUGUUUUUCUACCUUCCAGAGAGGACUUCGUUCCUUGAACAAUUCAGAACUCUGUGCAAACAGGGGCUGCUUUCCCCAGUGCAAGGUUGAAGGGAGCCCGUGCCACUGAGACAAGGCUUGGCUGGACUGGAAGAUGAUGUAGGAAAGGCAAAUAGGAAGUGAGGCCAAGUGGGGCAAACUGACUUCCCAUUGUGGAUGCUCAGGGUACCCUUUGCCCCUUUGCUGUAGUUUCUGAUUUCCUCUAUGAGGUGAUCUGCCUUGGGGCUCCCAGCUGGAAGUCCAUACUUCACGCUGGACUCUCCCAAUUCAGAGGGCUGAGGGAGUCCACAGAGUGGUCAGAGCCCGCUUAUCUGUCAGCCUUCCUGGAGAAGGAGGAAGUCCUCCUUUCCUCCCUGGUAAUCUUUUCCUCCCACUUCUAAUGUCAGGAAUGCCAGUAGCCCCGUCCCUCAUAUAGGGGAAAACUCUUACACAACCACCCAGCCUUUAAACUUCCCGAUAAUGACUGUAUUAAAAUUUAAACAAAAGGCACGACAUUUGUUUAUUGCCUCCCCACAGCCAUCGUGAAGCGAAGAGGCAUGUCACACGAAGCAUCCUGAGCUGAGGAGCGACAAGCACCCUAUACACAAGGCUUGGAAAGGACAGAUGGGUACAAGGUGAGGAAGAAAGCCCUGAAGAGCGCAGCAUGCACAGGAAAGUAGAUUUCUGAUCCCUUCUGUGGAAAGUGGAAAUCUCCUGUGGGUGAAUCAUGCCACUCAGGAUUUAGGAAGUCACAGGUCCUGGGUCCUGUUGCUUUUCACCAUGUCUAUCUUUCUGCUCAUCUGUCCAUCCAUCCAUCCAUCCAUCCAUCCAUCCAUCCAUCCAGUCCUUUGAGUGGUGGGUAUCUGAAGAGCAAGGACAACAAUUUGAAGAAUGUUGAAUUUGGAGAACUGGCCAACAUCUUCAGUUUGAGAAUAGAAUGAGGCUAAUUCAAGUUUUUUAUGUGGGCUCUUCAAGAGGGAAAUCUUUCAUGGCCAAGUGACCUGUGUCAUUCUUUGAAAAUUUCAUACAAUACAUUUUGAUCAUAUUCA